CCUGAUCUCAUGAUUCUUCCUUUCACCCGCUCAAAUCCGCUGUUGAACUCCUCCAGUGAAUUUCUAUUUCAGAUGUAAGGGAAUGGAGUCCUGAGACUGAAGCCCUGUCUGCCUCCAUGUCUUGAAGCACACGGAUAAUCAGGCUCAGAUCUGGAAAGGACACAAUAACUCAGUCUCACAGUGCCACCACCUGCCCACACUGAACAAAACCACCCAAGAUUCUGUGAGCCAAGUCCAUCUUUGCCUUCCCUGUGUCACCCAGGACUCAAAGAGGCCCCACCAAGGAUGGACAUCAAAACCCAGCUUUGAGCCCUGGCAGUUUGCCGAGAUUCUGGUCAUUUUUUCCCUAGAAUGGUUUUCUCCUGGAAAAACAACAGUGACAUUUCUCCAGCAAGCAUUCACUCCUUCUGAGGACUGAAAAAUAAUAUGAAAUCAGUGCAGAAAGAUCUGAGACCACAGAAUGUGAUCGAGCGCACAAUAAACAAUGGCAGAAGCAAACUAUAGUAAGGCCUCAACUUACGGACAUCGGAGUGUGGACCUCCACAGGUGUGCUGUGUAAGAUUCACCUUGUAGACUUAUGAACGAAUCCGACCUAUGAGCAAAUCCAACUCACAAACAGUUCUCCCGGAAUGGAACUCAUUUGUAAGUCAGGGACUUAAUUGUACUAUAACACAAUUAUAGAACUAUUAAUACAUUCAAAAGAUUAAGGAACUACACAGCUAAAAACAGAAGUAGUAACUUAGAGGAAAGACUCAAGACAGGUUCUAUGAAUUCAAUGGCAAAAGAUAAAACAAACAGAAUAGAUAAAAGUGCCGACAGCAUUAUCAACAUAAAGACAAUUGUUCUUGAGAUAGAAAAUGUAAGAAAUGCAAUAGAAAAUGUACCCAAACUAAUAAGAUAACAUUUUCGUGGAUAAAAGGAACAAUUCAAAUACCAUUGAACUAUUUUUAAAACAUCUUCUUCACUGAGGUGUGCUCUGGUCACGUCCCACUGCCCCACAGGGAGUGCCAUCAUUACAUACUGCAAACAUGGACUAAUACAAAUUUUAAAAUAUUUUCUUCAGGGUUGGUCUCUUCAUUUCCUCCUUUUUGGCCUGCGAGUUUGCUUGGGAAGAGGGAAUGUACCAUCAAUAAUGGUUAUUUUAUGUGUCAACUUGACUGGGCCACAGAUAUUUGGUCAGAUUUUAUUCUGGGUGUGUCUCUAAUGGUGUUUUGGAUGAAAUUAACGUUCAAAAUUUUAAACUGACACAUAAAAAUUGGACAUACUGAUGGGGUAUCACAUGAGGCUUUGGCACAUGUACACAUCGAGAUUAGCAUUCGAUUUGGCAGACUGAGCAAAGAGACAGCCUUCCCUAAUGUCGAUGGGCCUCGUCCAAUCAGUUGAAGGCCUGGCCCUCCCUUGAGUAAUGUUGGGAUUAUGCCCCCAGACUCAAUUUGUUGGUGCAGACAAUAAAGCACUCAGACACCAAGAAAUUUGGGCAAGGCAUUUUAUUUCUGCAGAAGGUGCAAGCAUGAGGUAGCAGGUGCAGGGGACAAAGGUGGGUGGCCCUUUUAUCCCUAAUGCAGGAGAAGCAGCUGGCAGUUUUCCUCUCUGGCUGG